GGAUUGUUAAGACCAAGGUCUUCUUCUGCAUGUCUUCCAGAAAACCAGGUAACAGAGAAUGCUUUAUUUCUUACAUUAUCUUGAUAUCCACCAGUCCUUAUGGACAUUUCUCAGUUUCCGUCUGGAUUAUCAUCACAGAAUGUCAUGACUAUUCUUUUCCAUCAGGCUGUCUCCAUGCUUCCAAUGAGACCUGUGUCAUGUGGACUAUCAGUCGAACAACGUGGACAUUCUGACACGAUGUUCUUUCCCUCUUCGUACUUCUCUUCAGCUUCACAGCCUUCAGCUGAGGUCAGUGACUAAUGUUCAGGUUCACAGUCUUCAACUGGGGUCAGUGUCUAAUGUUCAGGUUCACAGCCUUCAACUGNNNNNNNNNNCAACCCAACAAUCUAACAACCCCACCAACCCUACCUAACAACCCACCUUCCUAAUAACCCAACAAUCUAACAACCCCACCAACCCUACCUAACAACCCACCUUCCUAACAAUCUAACAACCCAACAAUCUAACAACCCCACCAACCCUACCUAACAACCCACCUUCCGAACAACCCACCUACCUAACAACCCAACCAUCUAACAUCACCACCCUGAUAUCUAUAGCCACAGAACUCCUCUCUUCUGAUCGCCAGUCCACAGUGGUUCACCAGGCAUGAUUUCCCUCACAGAGUGUGCAGCUCGCUGGCCCUGGCAUGCGAAGAACUGCAUGGCAAAGCUAUGAACAGCACACAGCAAAAAGAGAGAUCUACUGAAUCAUCAAAUGGAAGAGAUCGCCUCAUAAAAAUGGGAAAUACAGACCACAUUCAAUAAAUGGAAAUAUAUACAUUGGGCAAGAUUGUACAUAAAAGAGGAACAAGAGUCCAGCUUCUGAAUUAUAACAUAUCAUUUCUGCUUUGGGUUUAUUUUAAGCAUGUUGUAUAGCGGGUGUUUAUGGUAAUGUUAAUGAAAAAAACAGUAACGGAAUUAUGAUUUGGUCCAAAAUGCUAUGGAUAACCAGAGAAUGUAAUGAUCUACCUAUUAGGUGUUCAGCAAAGUUAUCACUCGUUACACACUGUAUUUAUCCAAUAUAGAGGUCAAGGGUCAGGGUCAGUAUACAUGGGACAGAGCAGAGGUCAGAUUUAGGGGUGUCUUCUCCGGAGGUCAGAUUUAGGGGUGUCUUCUCCAGAGGUCAGAUUUAGGGGUGCUUCUCUAGAGGUCAGAUUUAGGGGUAUACAGUGUCUUCUCUAAAGGUCAGGGCAUAGUGAUAAUGAUACAUGACACAGUCUAUCAAUGACGUCAUCGGGUUCCUUAAGUACUUCCAGCAGUGACUCAAAAUCCAAAAGAAUCAAUCACGUGGAAUGUUUGGAUGUUGUCGCACACAGAGCACUUUCCCCAUAGUCUGUUCCUCUCUCUCACAGUGCUGCAGACAGACACACAGUGUGUCCCUGCAGACCAGUUCCACCUGUCUGAUCAGGUGGUGUCACUAUUUAACAGUCCUCGUCAACACCCACUAUACUGGCUGGCUUGUGCUCUCAUAAACUCUUACUAGAAACCAAGUUCAUCUCUGCUGGUACGCUGCAUGUAUUCACACUAUAUAGUGGGCUUAUAAUUCUACAAGGGAGUCCCAAAUCCGCAAGAUAAAAUAUGCUGCUAAAGAUAAGUGCAUGUCAACAAACAAAAUAUUUACAUUUUAUUUCUAUGCAAAGAAAGAUAUUGCACAAACUUAUGGGGUUAUUACAUGAAAUAAUGAUAUCAGUAUAAACAUGGAAUAAAAACCUCUGCGAAUCCAGCCAACAUUUUGUAUUCAGCUAUUCCCACAUCUCAUUUCAUUUCGCUUCAAAGUACUGAAAUAAAGAAUGACAAUGUGCAUAAUUGAAUCAACGUGUCCAAGUGAAAAGCGAAAGAGCAUCCUUUUACAUUUGUGGAAUCGAAGAAAAUAUAUAUUUUGUGUGUUUUUCAACCUAUCUAAAAAAUGACUAUUCCAAAUCUGACAUACUGUAUGUGCCGAGGCCUCAACAGGUUACUUUUCCAGGACUUUAGUUUCCAGCUCAGCUGACAGACAGUUGGUGUGUUCCAAGUGCUGCCAUAGCACUGGCAUUGUGUAAAACUCCAUGUUAGUCAUCAUCUCGUGUCCUUAUCAACACUGCAUCAUGUACAGUUGGACCGACGAAUAAACGACUGAAAUAUUUUAUCCAAGGACCUCUGUCUUUCUUAUUAGCCGGAGAACUAGUAGUACACAUCUGGCCUAAAUUAUACAGGCAAUGUACACCAUAAACAAGUUGAGGGCAACUGUUGUAUUGCACUUGAUUCUGUAUAUAAAUCCAUCAUGUGAUACUGUCCAUAUCCUGUUCUCAGACGUGUGGAAUAGGAACAUGAACGUGAGUGUAUUAUGAAUAUGUAGGCCCCUAUGUCAUGAAAAGAAAACUGCCUCAUCAGCCAGGAAGUGCAGCUCAAACUCCUGUAAGU
rnacentral:lncRNA from 13 species